UACGAAGGGGGCUAGCGUUGUUCGGAAUUACUGGGCGUAAAGCGCGCGCAGGCGGUCCUUCAAGUCAGAGGUGAAAGCCCAGAGCUCAACUCUGGAAUGGCCUUUGAGACUAGAGGACUUGGGUACGGGAGAGGUGAGUGGAAUUCCGAGUGUAGAGGUGAAAUUCGUAGAUAUUCGGAAGAACCCCAGUGGCGAAGGCGGCUCACUGGCCCGUUACCGACGCUCAGGCGCGACAGCGUGGGGAGCAAACAGG
rnacentral:rRNA from 1 species